rnacentral:rRNA from 1 species
AUUGAACGCUGGCGGCAUGCUUUACACAUGCCAGUCGAACGGUAACAGGCCUUCGGGUGCUGACGAGUGGCGAACGGGUGCGUAAUGCAUCGGAACGUACCCAGAGGUGGGGGAUAACGCAGCGAAAGCUGUGCUAAUACCGCAUGUGAUCUGAGGAUGAAAGCGGGGGACCGAGCAGCAAUGUUUGGCCUCGCGCCUUUGGAGCGGCCGAUGUCGGAUUAGCUAGUUGGUGGGGUAAAGGCCUACCAAGGCGACGAUCCGUAGCUGGUCUGAGAGGACGACCAGCCACACUGGGACUGAGCCACGGCCCAGACUCCUACGGGAGGCAGCAGUGGGGAAUUUUGGACAAUGGGCGCAAGCCUGAUCCAGCAAUGCCGCGUGCGGGAAGAAGGCCUUCGGGUUGUAAACCGCUUUUGGCAGGAACGAAACGGUGUCCGCUAAUACCGGGCGCUAAUGACGGUACCUGCAGAAUAAGCACCGGCUAACUACGUG